AGGCCUCUUCACCUGCAGGCGCACAGAAAUGGGCUCUUCUUCCUGAUCUCCCAAUGCGUCACGGGAACCUUGGAGGGACACUGCCUCCCUCUGGCCCUGGGUUUGCUCUUCUGAGGAAGAAGAAUAUCUGGAGCUCCUCGCUGCUUCCGUGGCUGCUUUUCCCACUCCUUCGAGGGCUAUGGCUCCAGUCGUGGUCAAGCUACUGACCUGGAUGCUCUGUGUCGUCAUUUGCAAACAUACCUACAUCAGGGCGACAGCAAACGUUACAGGUGGGACAGAGGAGGGCCGAGUGAGACCAGCCUGAGGUCCUGCCUUGCCCACACAAGUGGCUACUUCUUCCAUGCUGGGGAGGAUGAGCUCCCUGCCCACGGGGCUGCUUCCAGACUCUGCCGGAGAACGGGGACACAGGACCUGGCCUCCAUGCGGUCUUCCCAUUUCUCAAGUUCACACAGAGCACAUCUCCAACCGUGCAGCAGAGGCCAGUGUGUUCUGUUCCCGCCCACAGGCCGGCUCUGUUUUUGCAGGCUGUGCAAGAGGGGCCGAGGAAAUGAUAAGUGAAAAUCCAUCACAGCUUCUGGACUCAACUCAAAGGACACACGAGGCUGCUGGAACACCAGCAGGACUCAGCCCGACUCGGCGAUGUUGUCAGGAGAAUGAUUCCGUUUCAUGCUGAAGCGGCCUGGCAGGGCAGGUCUUUGGAGGAUAGCUUGCAAAGAGCCUAAGAACCAUCUGAAAGGAGACUCUGUGCCUUGUGGACUUGGGGUAUGGAGGGAGUUGGCCCGAAGCUGCUAGGGUCAGACAUGGGGAACACCUGCCUGAGCUCAAGCCAGCAGUAACGAGACCAAGUCGUGACAGCAUCCUCUUCUCAUCUGGGUCCAGACAUGCCUGCAGCUGGUUACUCUGGGAUUUUUCAGUUACAUAAACCAACAAAGACUGUUUGUUGUUAAGCCAUCUUGAGUUAAGUUUGCCACUUUCGACUAGAGGACGCUUGAGACAUAACCUACCGUGUUAAUCUCCAUCGCAAGUCAAGCUUGGCAAGCAGAACUGUCCUCACCUGGUGUUCAUAAAAAAGGUGGUCCUGGGGCGCCACGUGUUUACUCAUUCAAAUACUAGGUGUGAUAUUGAAUACUAUGGGCAAGUGCUACUUAAGCACCCAGGGAUCAAAUCAGACUGUGACCCCUGCCCUCAAGGAGCUCCCAUCUUGGGGACCAAGGCCGGAUCAAGGAAGGACUGUCCGAGCAGGCUCUCGACACAGCCCCUGCACCAGAGCUCUCCACAGCGGGCCACAGCCGGCUCCCUGGGCAACUGGCCGUCUCGUCUCUGCGUCCAUCUGUGUGUGCCGUCUGGGUCGGCCCUGCCUCUCCUGGAUUGUCCUCGGCCAGGCCAGGGCUUGGCCACCACUAAAGAAGGCAUUUCAUAGUAACACUGCAAAAUCAAGCUGGGAGCAGCCUCAUGGCCACUUGGUUGAGCUUGUCCCAGGCUGGAAGGACUCAAAUCCUGUAACAUGGUGUCAUGGAAGGUGUCCUCUGGAAUCUCAGCUCUGGGCAGUGCUUAGCUAGGCUACAUCCAAAGUAACACCCCAGAGAAUAUGCCCUAAACUCUCAGUUGUCACUCUGAAGACCCCUAUACUAACCCCUCACCCACCCACUGCUUCAACCCACUGUGGUUACUGCCCACUUCUCUGUGCCACGCAGCCUCCUGGGGGUGGGCUGUGGCACACAGGUGCUCCCACAUGCUGAUGUGGCAGCUAGAAUAGGGCAGGUGUGGAGGGAGCCUAGCUGGAAGAGCAUCUGUGCUGACACGAGUGGGUCCUGCCUAGGCCAGCACCGGGGCCUGUCCCCAGGUCCCCACCUGUGUGCGGAGCACCAAUCAACGCUGCUCUGCCCCAGGCCACCUUUGGGCUUGGCUUAAUCAUGGCUGCCCCGGCUCCAUUCUGACCCCCAUGCUUACCCCAAGAGUAGUUCCUGUGUGCUUAGCGAGCACUUCUAGCCUCGAGAAGCCUUGUUUCUGGGAGGAUCCUUUCAGGAGAGUGGAGGGGAACAGGGGAGAGCAGUGGCUGGGGAAGGAGGCAGCAGGCGGCACCCUGGAGUGCAUUUUCCCUGCUGUUUGCUCUGCUGCGGGAAGGCUCAGGAGGAAUAGUAAGUCAAAGCGAGAGCUAGAGGAGUCCUGCGCUGACAGCUGCAGAGACUGAAGGUGGUAUGACUGUGGCAGGCUGCAUCAAGGCCACGCUGCCCUGAGGCCAGACGGGCAUGGAACGGUGCCUGGACUCUGGCCUGGAGUCUGGGAGUGAGGAGGAGGAUGCUGUUGCCGGGAAGAGCACGAGGGGCCUGAGUGGGGACCAGUGAGAGGUUGUGAGCUCCUUUGUCGUUGUGUUUUUUCCAAUAGAAUUCUACAUUUGUAUUUUUUAAAAAUGGAGGCAUCACAUAACAAAGUGUGUAAAGCGUGCUGAUAUGAAGCCAAUCUUUACCGUGUGUCUUUGCACACGGAUAGAGAAGCUUAUCAGCACUCUGUGGCUCCUGCAUUAGCCAGGUGUUUUAUCUUCUGUAUUUGUGAUGCUUUGACGUCUUCUGAGGUUCUGCUGGCUGGGGAGAGACUGCCCCUGCAAGUGUGCCUUUCAUAUGCAAACCAGCGAUCCAGAGCCCACCCCCUCACCGCCUCCUGCGUGGGACUCUCACACAGCAAGCCGGGCGUCCUCCAGCCCUGCAUCACUCCAGGGCUGGGGACCAGACAACUGGAGACCACCUUGUCGCCAGAGCUUUCCGAAAUUAUUGAAAUUAGCCGAUCCUAAACUUGCUCAAACUUGUCUCCCCGCCUCCUCUGUUCCCACCCUUGGAAACAGCAGUAUGGGCCCUGGCCACGUGUCCUUCUGCCUCCUGACUGACGCUGGUGCUUCCCCAUGUGGCCCUGCAUCAGGAAUUCUAAGUAGUAAACUUUUCUCUCAAAGUCUCUGUGCCUGUCACCUUACCAUAUCUGAUCAAAACAAAAUCCCAUUUCAAGAAGGCCUGUCUGUCCCUUGCUGGUCUACACACUCCUCCAUCCCAGGAGGUAGCCGUUGUUGUGAUUUCUAUCAUAACAGAGUGUCGCCUUGUUCUUUAAAU
rnacentral:lncRNA from 1 species